rnacentral:lncRNA from 1 species
GUCAGAUAUUCUUUGAUCUCGUCUGAAAUUAAUGAUUUUUCUUGAUGAAUUUCUACUUUUGUAUCAAAACUGAAGGGGAAAGGACUAUUUCGAAGAUAACGAGUGAGAUUAAAUUGUGAGUGAAGUAAUAAUUUCUUCUUAUUUUAUAUUAAAUUUGGUUUUCUCUUUGUACAAACCUGUUUUAGUGGGAAAUCUUAACAAUAUUCAAGAUUUCUUUACAUUUUCCCGAUCAUAAAUGCUAUUUGUAAACCUGCUGAAAUUAUGAAAAUUAAGUUAUUUAUAGAAAAAUAUGUUUUUAUGAAAUUUGCUAUAAAUACCAUUCAGAAUGUGUAUAUUAGAAUUCUAUCGGAAUUUAAUAUGAAAAUAUAAAUUUGGUGGGCUCGUACACAUGAAAGUUAAAAUUUUUAAAGAAAUUCUGGAUUUGUCUCAGUGUGUAUGUGUGUGUGUGUGUGUCUUUGUGUUAGUGUUUCUUCCCCUCCCAUUCCCGCUUAACAAACGGUGUUGGUAUAUUUACAUCCCUGGAACUUUCGGCAGCAGACUCAUAAAAUGAGUUCCAGGCAUAAAAAAACAAAUACAUAUAUAUAUAAUAUAUAUAUAUAUAUAUAUAUAUCAUGGUGAUCUAUGUAAAGGGCAUCUAUACUGCUCUGCAUAAAAAGCUCCCAUUUAAGGACCAUGUGAGAAGUUCUCGAUACAGUCUCUAAAGUGGUUGGCGUUAAGAAGAGUGUCCAGCUGUAGAAAGCAAUCGAAAUCAGGCAGGAACUGGGUGCAGCACCCCUGUUUGCCAGCACAGGUCAAACCAACCAACCCAGCGAAGCAUGGUAAAUGGACAUUAAAUGUAAAAAGCUGUGCCAAAACUGACCUUGCUUGUGAUCUUUCCACUUAAAAUGUACUCAAUACACUCUGUAGUAUGGUUGGUGUUAGGAAGAGCAUCCAGCUGUAAAAGCUGAGCCAAAACAGACACACAAGUCUGGGGCAGUCUUCUGACUGACCACCUCCUACCAAACCAUCCAACAGAUACUGGUAUUGAAGGCAGACAUUAAAUGAAGGGGAUCAGGAAACGAGAAUCCUGGCAGUUUGCUGUGUUUGAAAAGACACAUCAAGCUAAGUAAAAGCAUGGUUGCCCUUGCAUACAAGCUUGUCCCUUCCGACCCCCUCCAGCUGAGCAUCCCUAAUCCUGCAGGCUCAUGGGUGCUGAUACCACGUAAAAGCACCCAGUGGUACUGCGUAAUAUCACCCAGUACAUUCUGUAAAGGGUUUGUUUUAGAAAGGGCAUCCAGCAAUAGAAACUAUUUUAAGAUAGAGAUGGGGCCUGAUGAGCCCUUCAGCUGGUUAGCUCCUUUCAAACCAUUCAACCCAUGCCAGUGUGUAAAAUGGAAUUUAAAUGAUGAUGAAGUAAUAAUUUAAAAUUUAUAUAUACACCUUAUAGUAUACCAUUGUCUUUCUGAGCGAACGAUUUGCCACAGAUAUCACAGUGAUAUGGCUUCUCUCCUGUAUGGACGCGUCUGUGCCUAAUCAAGCCUUGAUUUCAAGAGAAUGAUCUACCACAGGUAUCACAAUGAUAUGGCUUCUCUCCUGUAUGAAUACGUCGGUGAGUGAGUAAGUUAGUUUUCCGAGAGAAUAAUUUACCACAGGUAUCACAAUCAUAUGAUGUUUUGCCCUCUUCAUUCUUUACAUCAUCAGAUAAAUCAAUUAUUUUAGAUAGCCUUCUCACUGUAUUUGGCUAUCUGAUGUCAUCUACAGUAUGGAUAUAAAUGACACUGGAUUUAUUUGAGGAAUUCCUUCAUGUCAAUAGAGUUUAAAAAAUGAGAGAAAGAGAAAGAAAAUAGAAUUUCCAAGACUAGUAUUCACUAUGAUUGUUUCAACCCAUCGUGUAUCUGUGCCUCGCAGGUGAGAUUCUGUACGAACAGUUGUGGGGCAUCCUUUGAUGCAGACAUGUCCCAUCAGGUGACUUAUCAAAUGGUUCUUCGUAUUUAAAUUUCUGUUUUGCUUAUUUCGAUUAGAAUUCAUUUUGGUAUUUGUUACAUGUCAAGCUUCUUUCAGUUUCCAUCAAACAUGUCUUUGAUUGGCCACUCUGGGACUGAACCCAGGACCAUGUGGUUGGGAAGUCAACUUCUUACCACACAACCAUCCCUGCACUUCUAUGGCCAUGUCUAUAUAAAAAUGUAGUAAAACUUUCACUGCUUUAAUCUCUCUAAUUCCUAAUUAUCUUGUAUGUUUUACACUGUUGUUUCUCUUUCGUUUCAGAUUAUCAGAUGACAUCUGCUUCACAGGAUUUUGACAUAAGCAACGUCAUUAGAAUGGAAAGUCUUUUGAAGACUGAGCAAAGAUGUUAUACAAAACACGUAUAACCCUGUUUCUAUAAUAUUUACUGAAUUACUGCAAAAUAUAUCUUCUGAACUCUGACAUAUAUGUAGCAAAAUUUCUCUUCUUUAUUGUCUGGAAUACACAGAAAAUUAUAUUUGCAUAUUAAUUAAUCAUUUAGCAUUUAAACUAGCACAAAUAUUCUGACCUCUCACACUCACCCUGCAGUGUCAGUUUAAACAUAAACAAUCAAAUCACUGAAGUCUCAAAGCUAUGAGAUA